GACAGAGGCCCCGAGCGUUAGGCGGAAUCACUGGGCUUAAAGCGUGUGUAGGCGGGCCCGUAAGUGUCUUGUGAAAUCCCACGGCUCAACCGUGGAACUGCUGGGCAUACUGCGGGUCUUGGGCCAACUAGGGGCAGCCGGAACAAGCGGUGGAGCGGUGAAAUGCGUAGAUAUUGGAAAGAACACCGAUGGCGAAGGCACUCUACUGGGCUAUUACUGACACUCAGAGACGAAAGCUAGGGGAGCAAAUGGG
rnacentral:rRNA from 1 species